rfam:Biomphalaria glabrata isolate BB02 unplaced genomic scaffold LGTN_random_Scaffold868, whole genome shotgun sequence.
UUGCUAUGAUGACUACUUAGGACACCUAUGAAGUACUACAAUAAUGUAAUCACUCACUAUACUGAGCAAU